rnacentral:rRNA from 1 species
CAGACCUGAGUGUGCAGAUACCCGCAA